rnacentral:miRNA from 1 species
UGAGUUCAAAUCUGGCCACAGACACA